AUUGAACGCUGGCGGCAGGCCUAACACAUGCAAGUCGAACGGUAACAGGAAGCAGCUUGCUGCUUUGCUGACGAGUGGCGGACGGGUGAGUAAUGUCUGGGAAACUGCACGAUGGAGGGGGAUAACUACUGGAAACGGUAACUAAUAUCGCAUAACGUAGCAAGACCUAAGAGGGGGACCUUAGGGCCUCUUGCCAUCGGAUGUGCGCAGAUGGGAUUAGCUAGUAGGUGGGGUAACGGCUCACCUAGGCGACGAUCCCUAGCUGGUCUGAGAGGAUGACCAGCCACACUGGAACUGAGACACGGUCCAGACUCCUACGGGAGGCAGCAGUGGGGAAUAUUGCACAAUGGGCGCAAGCCUGAUGCAGCCAUGCCGCGUGUAUGAAGAAGGCCUUCGGGUUGUAAAGUACUUUCAGCGGGGAGGAAGAGAGUAAAGUUAAUACCUCUGCUCAUUGACGUUACCCGAAGAAGAAGCACCGGCUAACUUCGUG
rnacentral:rRNA from 1 species